UACAUUUAAAGUUUUUAAAAAUUUUAAAAUGUGAUUUUAAAGAAAUUAGAAGUUUUAAAUAGUGAUU
rnacentral:tRNA from 1 species